rnacentral:rRNA from 1 species
CCUACGGGAGGCAGCAGUAGGGAAUCUUCCACAAUGGACGAAAGUCUGAUGGAGCAACGCCGCGUGAGUGAAGAAGGGUUUCGGCUCGUAAAGCUCUGUUGGUAGUGAAGAAAGAUAGAGGUAGUAACUGGCCUUUAUUUGACGGUAAUUACUUAGACAGUCACGGCUAACUACGUGCAAGCAGCCGCGGUAAUACGUAGGUGGCAAGCGUUGUCCGGAUUUAUUGGGCGUAAGGCGAGUGCAGGCGGUUCAAUAAGUCUGAUGUGAAAGCCUUCGGCUCAACCGGAGAAUUGCAUCAGAAACUGUUGAACUUGAGUGCAGAAGAGGAGAGUGGAACUCCAUGUGUAGCGGUGGAAUGCGUAGAUAUAUGGAAGAACACCAGUGGCGAAGGCGGCUCUCUGGGCUGCAACUGACGCUGAGGCUCGAAAGCAUGGGUAGCGAACAGGAUUAGAUACCCGAGUAGUC